UGGCGUGAUCAUUGAAGUGAAUGCAGGU
rnacentral:piRNA from 1 species